rnacentral:sRNA from 1 species
UGUCGCGUUUUGAACACCAGGAGUAAUC